rnacentral:rRNA from 1 species
UACAGAGGGGGCAAGCGUUGUUCGGAAUUACUGGGCGUAAAGGGCGCGUAGGCGGCCCGCUAAGUCGAACGUGAAAUCCCCGGGCUCAACCCGGGAACUGCGUCCGAUACUGGUGGGCUUGAAUCCGGGAGAGGGAUGCGGAAUUCCAGGUGUAGCGGUGAAAUGCGUAGAUAUCUGGAGGAACACCAAAGGCGAAGGCAGCGUCCUGGGAAGCAUCUGACGCUCAGGUGCGAAAGCUAGGGGAGCGAACGGG